ACACGUGGUAUCCUGUCUGAAUAUGGGGGGACCAUCCUCCAAGGCUAAAUACUCCUGACUGACCGAUAGUGAACCAGUACCGUGAGGGAAAGGCGAAAAGAACCCCGGCGAGGGGAGUGAAAAAGAACCUGAAACCGUGUACGUACAAGCAGUGGGAGCCCCACCACUAAGCCAGUGGUGAACUCCACAUCCGCAUCCUUUGCUGAGGAUACGGUUAACGGAGCGAAAGCGACGUUCAACCGCAAAACAAGCAGAGGGGGCUUAGUGGUGGGGUGACUGCGUACCUUUUGUAUAAUGGGUCAGCGACUUAUAUUCUGUAGCAAGGUUAACCGAAUAGGGGAGCCGGAGGGAAACCGAGUCUUAAUUGGGCGUUAAGUUGCAGGGUAUAGACCCGAAACCCGGUGAUCUAGCCAUGGGCAGGUUGAAGGUUGGGUAACACUAACUGGAGGACCGAACCGACUAAUGUUGAAAAAUUAGCGGAUGACCUGUGGCUGGGGGUGAAAGGCCAAUCAAACCGGGAGAUAGCUGGUUCUCCCCGAAAGCUAUUUAGGUAGCGCCUCGUGAAUUCAUCUCCGGGGGUAGAGCACUGUUUCGGCUAGGGGGCCAUCCCGGCUUACCAACCCGAUGCAAACUGCGAAUACCGGAGAAUGUUAUCACGGGAGACACACGGCGGGUGCUAACGUCCGUCGUGAAGAGGGAAACAACCCAGACCGCCAGCUAAGGUCCCAAAGUCAUGGUUAAGUGGGAAACGAUGUGGGAAGGCCCAGACAGCCAGGAUGUUGGCUUAGAAGCAGCCAUCAUUUAAAGAAAGCGUAAUAGCUCACUGGUCGAGUCGGCCUGCGCGGAAGAUGUAACGGGGCUAAACCAUGCACCGAAGCUGCGGCAGCGAACGUAUCACCCAAGACAACUUUACGGAGUUGACGAUUGACGGAGCGAAGCGACGUCAAAGCGUUCAUUAAAGUCGAGUUGGCUUAGGGAUACGUUCGUUGGGUAGGGGAGCGUUCUGUAAGCCUGUGAAGGUGUGUCGUGAGGCAUGCUGGAGGUAUCAGAAGUGCGAAUGCUGACAUAAGUAACGAUAAAGCGGGUGAAAAGCCCGCUCGCCGGAAGACCAAGGGUUCCUGUCCAACGUUAAUCGGGGCAGGGUGAGUCGACCCCUAAGGCGAGGCCGAAAGGCGUAGUCGAUGGGAAACGGGUUAAUAUUCCCGUACUUGGUGUUACUGCGAAGGGGGGACGGAGAAGGCUAUGUUGGCCGGGCGACGGUUGUCCCGGUUUAAGCGUGUAGGUGUGUGUUCCAGGUAAAUCCGGUUCACUUUAACACUGAGGCGUGACGACGAGGCACUACGGUGCUGAAGCAACAAAUGCCCUGCUUCCAGGAAAA
rnacentral:rRNA from 1 species